rnacentral:rRNA from 1 species
UACGUAGGUGGCAAGCGUUGUCCGGAUUUAUUGGGUUUAAAGGGUGCGUAGGCGGUUUCUUAAGUCAGUGGUGAAAUACGGCAGCUCAACUGUCGAGGUGCCAUUGAUACUGGGAAACUUGAGUACUGAUGAGGUAGGCGGAAUGGACGGUGUAGCGGUGAAAUGCUUAGAUAUCGUCCAGAACACCGAUAGCGAAGGCAGCUUACUAAGGAGUAACUGACGCUGAUGCACGAAAGUGUGGGGAUCAAACAGG